AAUUAAACAACAUGGAAACAAAAAAGACAUUGGAAUGAGCAUAGAAGAUGUUAUUGAAGAAUGCAAGCUUUUCUAUAUUGCUGGCCAAGAAACUACAGCAACAUUACUAGUCUGGACGAUGAUAUUGUUGAGUUCAUACUCAGAAUGGCAAGAGCGUGCAAGAGCAGAAGUCUUUGAGAUCUUUGGUAACAAGCAACCAAAUUAUGAUGGUUUAAAUAGACUAAAAGUUGUAAGUGUGAUAUCAUUCUCCAACGUUUACUCUCUAUUAAUCUUUUUUUUUUCAUUUUGAUUUCAUCUCAUAUGUGAAAUUUAAAUGCCCAUCUUCUAGUAUAAAACAAUCACAUGAGCAAGUUUUGGAGGUAUGAGUGAAUAUUCUUGGAAUGUUUUCUAACUAAAUCUCAAUCAAGCUUAUUGUCUUUAGAAGUUGAAGAGUAUAAAGGCUACGUGAUAAUUAAACUUGACAUCUAAGAAGCACAAACAUUUUAAUUUAACUAGGGUGUUUGUGUGUCAGACACUUAAGACACUCUAAUAGGUUUCAAACACCUUGUUAGUAUAAUAGAUUUAUGUUAGAAAACUAGUUGUACAGUGUCAAACAAGUCCAACAUUUAUUUAUAUGCAACCAAUGAUGAUUGGUAUACUAAAUAAUUUAUAAGCAUAUAAAUGAAGGACUUCUUUGACCUUGAAGUUUUUUUCUUGUAUAAAACUGGAUUAAACAUGUCCUUAUAAUGCCCAUGUCCUCAUUUAUAACAGUGGCCACUAUGUGGUCUCGUGUCGUGUCAUAUUCAUAUAUUGUAUUUGUAUAUGUGUUUCUUAGCAAGAUAAGUUGUAAAAGAGUGACACAUUGGCAUGUGACUUUUGAGAAUAAUGUGUCCUAAAAAGGUAUGUACAUGACAAGUGGCUUUUGCAAUGGUGCAGGUAACUAUGAUCUUCAAUGAGGUCCUCAGGUUAUACCCACCAGGGAGUCUGUUUGUUCGCAUUGUUAGGAAAGAAACAAGACUUGGAAAUUUGACUUUACCAGGAGGAGUAAUGUUAGGCUUACCAAUUGUUCUUAUCCAACGUGACCCUGAGUUAUGGGGAGAAGAUGCACAUGAAUUCAAUCCAGAGAGAUUUUCUGGAGGAGUUUCUAAAGCAACAAAAAAUCCAAGUGCUUUUAUACCAUUUGGAUGGGGUCCUAGAAUAUGCAUAGGACAAACCUUUGCUAUGAUUGAAGCAAAAAUGGCAUUAUCAAUGAUUCUACAACGUUUCUCAUUUGAGCUUUCGCCAUCGUACACACACUCUCCCAUUGCCAGUUUAACAACACAACCUCAACAUGGAGCUCAUAUCAUACUACACAAACUCUAGCUACCCUCUUAAAAUAUAUAUUAUUAGCUUGCAAAUUAUAAAAAGGCUAGGAAAGUACUCUGCUGCUUUGUCUAUGUAUAAUUUCAAAUCCUUUGUGAAAAAGAUACCUACACAAGGAAUUGAUAUCCUUUCAACUAGACACCUUUUCACUGCUACCCAGCACCUAAAUAAUAAACAGUUUUCAGGCUUGGGAUGUGAUUAAUGCUUGUUAUUGCACCAUUUUCUACUAAUAUUCACAAACUUUUCACCAUUUGAAAGGAAACUCAAUAUCCCUAGUCAAAUUUAUGCACUACAACUUUUGAAAACUAACCUUUCUUUCUCAUUAGUCCCCCUCAACAGCAUUCUACCAUAAAAUAUUCCAUACAUAAAACAAAAUGAUCAAAAUGAGAUGAUGAGACUGUAAACACCAAUUGUAAUACCCAAACACAGAAAUUCAAGAAGAGAAGUCUGUAAUUCUUGGAAACAUCUAACUAAAAUAACAUUAUUAGUUCAGACUAUAGUUUUGUUUGAUUAGAGUUCAUACAAAAGUACAUAAAUAAAAAUGGUCAAAAUCUAAAUGGUUGCGUUGCAUAUAUAAAUGACAACACAACAUGACAUAGAGGUAACUAAGAUUUGUAAAUGAGAUAAUUCUUAGACCAAUGGAUCAAGUCGUGCAAAAUGAAACAAAACUUAACCAACUAUUUUACCUAAACUGAUUGGGAUUUAUGGGGUGAGGGGCACAUGAGUUUACCAAAAAAAAUUAGAUAAAAGUUUAGUGAUAAUAAUCACUAAUACUUCUAACUAUAAAUAUUUAAAAAUGGAGUGAUUGAUAAUUAAAAUUAACCAAAAAAUUAGAAAAGGUAACUGAAUAAUAAAUUACAAACUCUAAAUAGAAAAUUUUGAGACCAAUCACAAAUUGUCACAUCAUUUACUAAAUUAAUGAUGAAAAAUACAAAUAUUUAAAUUUGAAACUAAUUAAAAAAUUGACAGGUGUCCUAAAUUAAAAUUGAAAACAUAAAUGAGUCAAUUCUAAUGAUGUCACAUGUUUUCAUUAUGACCGUUGGAUCAAGUUAAUUAUUUUGGUUCAAUUAAAUAUUAUGUACUUGAGCUAAGUUCAAAUGAGCCCAAAAGUAAGCUUAAUUUAGCUCGAAUACUAAAUAUGACCCAUAUCCAUAUUCAUGUGGUUAAGUCCAUAGGUCUAGUCCAUAGACCAACUAGACUCAACCCAUAAAGUUCAUCAAAGAACUCUAUAAAAAGAGGAGUUCUCCUCAUUUGUAAGAAGUUGAUCACCCUUGAAGAUUGAAGCUAUUUUGAAGAUACAAGAUAUCUUCCAAGACUCCAACUUCAACAAGCUCUCUUCCAAUACUCCAAAGAAUUUACCCAAGAGCUAGAAGACUCCCUAGCUUCUGAAGUCGACCGACCUCGAAGAUUAAAGCUCAUUUGAAGAUACAAGAUCUCUCUUCCAACACUCCAACUUCCCUCGAAGAUUAAAGCUCCUUUGAGUUUUCUUCUAAGACUCCAACUUCUCCAACUUCAAGAACAUCACGUGCUUUGCUUCCUCCAAAUCAAGCGUAGACGUUCAAUCGAGAGAGAAUCAAAUGAUCAAAUUCUAGCAAUCGAACCACAUCGCAUCAAAUCAACAAAACUAUAACAUCAACUUAAGUUCAACUCCACAAAUCAAAUUUCUUCAAAAAUCUUGUGCGAACAAAUUGGCAUGUCCAGUAAGACCUCUCUAUUUCUCAUCUCUCUCUCGCAUCAAAUCAACACAAGCACAACAUCAACUCAAGUUCAACUCCACGAAUCAAAUUUCUUCGAAAAUCUCGUGCGAACAAAUCUACAUACCUAAACCCAUGGACUCAACCACAUGGAUUUUGGUCAUAUUUAGCAUUUGGGCUCAAGUAAUCUUAUUUUUGGGCUCAAUUGAACUUAGCCCAAGUAAACAAUAUUUAAUUGAAUCAAAACAAUUAACUUAAUCUAACGGUUAGGAUGAAAACAUGUGACAUCAUCAUAAUUGGCCAAUUUAUGUUUUCAAUUUUAAUUUGGGACGCAUGUCAAUUUUUUUAAUCAGUCUCAAAUUCAAUUAUUUCUACUUUUCAUCGUUAAUUUAGUAAAUGAUGUGACAAUUUGCGAUUGGUCUAAAAAUUUCCUAUUCAACCGCUGAAAAUGGAACGAAGCAUGAGCUUUCCACACCGAUGACCAAUGCCCAUUGCCCGUUCUUCUUUUUACCAAAUAGGCCAUUAAUAAUAAAAAUAUCUUUUUAACUUUUCUCAUAAGAUAAAGAAAAGUGAACAAAUUAAAAAAAACACACAACAAUCAAAAUUAAACUGGAAUUUCUUCUAUGAUGGAUAAAUCUUCAAACCAAAUUGUUUGUGUGUUUAAUCUUUAAACACAUUAAAUUAAGUAAGCUCAUGUACAACAAAAUUAAAGACACUCCUAACAAAGGAAGUAGUCUAAUGCAAUACAACGAGAAUGAAUCUCACUAUAAUAAUAUCCUUAGACACAACGAGGAAUGAUGAAUAAAAUUUUGUAGUUUUACAACGAUGAUUGAUGACAUAUUUGUUAAAAGUAUAUGCAUCUACAAAAGAGAAAACACAACGUCCAAGAGACGAAUACAAAUUUUGUCCAACUUUCACUUCUGUGUUCGAAAUAUUAUUUUAAUUUUCAAUUUUAUGUUAAGUUAGUCUCUCAUAUAUCUCUCCUUCCAAAAAAACAAAAGUAAUUUAUAUAUUUUGGAAGUUUAAACCAAUUUCCAUCUAUGGGAAUUGAAAUUAAACAGUAUGCCGGCACACAUUCAUUUUUCUUUCUUUUCAAUAAAAACAAAAAUGAUGGUGAGGAUUACAAUGCAACAUAACAACUCUUUUUAGUUCAACAACAUACCAAUUAUUGUUUCACUUCAAUCUAUUCUUUUUCUUUUUGACAACACAUCAAUUGUUUUUUACAACAUUACGAAAGUAUCAUUCAAAUAUAAAUUACUGAUCAAUUCUUACUUUAUAUAUAUAUAUAUAUAUAUUAUAUAGAAAAAAAGAGUCAAGUAUUAUUUUCUAUGGCACAAAUGUUUUUCUUUUUAAAUAAUUCUUUAUUUUUAUAAUCAUUAAAUUGUAUAUAUAUAUAUAUAUAUUAUUGUGAUAAGAAUUGCAUAGAUUGUGGGGUUGUAAAUGGAGAAGAGAGAAGAGAAGUAAGAGAACUGAAAACCCCAAAGUUCAGUUAAUUGAGAUUUACAAAGAUGUCGUAUGUUGUAGAUACGAUUUCAAAUCGCAUAGUAAUGAUAAUCAGUUUCGUUUUAUUGUUAGUAUUAUUAAUAUUGGGAUGGAAAAUAGUUGAUUGGAUUUGGUUCCGCCCGAAGAAACUAGAGAAGCUUUUAAGACGGCAAGGAUUCACCGGAAAUUCAUACCGGAUUCUCCACGGCGACUUGAAGGAGAGUGCCGCCAUGAGAAAGGAAGCAAUGUCCAAGCCCAUGAACUUCUCCAAUCAUAUUGCUCCACGUGUCAUUCCCUCUGUCUAUCAUACCAUCCAAAUUUAUGGUAAACACUUUAUCCCCAACAUUUCCUUCUCAUCCUUUUCUUCUUCUUCAAAUAAGAUUUAAAGAAAUAAAUAAAAAUUAGGGUUUGAUUUAUUUUAUUACAUUUUUGUUUUGUGUUUGAAAAUUAAUUUUAUAAACUUUUAUUAUUUCAUCUCUAUUUUCAAUCAAUCCUUUACAAAACCAUGUAAAUUUUUAAACACUAAAACUACCCUACUUUUUUUCCUUCUUAGAAUAAUUUACUUAUUUUUACUUGAGAAAAAUUAAAACGUGUAAGCAAAUGGAAGGCUUAAUUUAAUUUAAUUUAAUUUAAUUUAAUUUUGUUUUUUUAAAAGAAAAUUAAAACAAUAAAACACAUAUUCCAAGUAACAAUUUGAAUAUUUGGAAAGAUAUAAUUUCAAUUUUAUAACAAUUUAGUCAUAAUUGAAAUCUAUCUUCAACUUUUAUUAUUUUAUGAGGUAUAAUAUACUAUGUAUUUGGUAAAAAUACCUUGUCACUUAUUAGUUUUUCGGCUUAUUAAUGAAAGAAAUUUUAUUCAAUUGUAACACUAAAUUCUAGUAUAGAAUUUAAAUAAUUACAAAUUUUAUAGGAUAAUAACUAAAUUUUUAUAUAGGAACUAAAUUGCUAUAUUGUUGUAAUAGCUCCAAGAAGUAAAAGUAUAUAUAUCAAUGGUCCUCGAAGUUAUGUUUACUGAAUUUCUACACAAAUUAGGAUUCUAAUAUAUUCAGCAGUCAACCUAAUAUAUACAUAGUUUAACAGAUUAAAAUAGAGAUCAUUGGAUAAAAAAAUUGAAAAAUUAUUUUAAAGGGUAGAAGUGUUCAAAAUAUUUUACAUCUAUCACUUCAGUAAAACUAUGCCUAAAAUGGAUUAUCAAGUCCCAAUAUAUAUGUUGAUUUUGAACUGUGCAGGCAAGAAUUCAUUUAUGUGGCUUGGUCCCAUGCCAAGAGUGCACAUAAUGGACCCUGAACAAAUCAAAACUGUGUUCUCAUUCAUCAAUGAUUUUCAAAAGCCAACUAUGAAUCCCCUUACCAGGUUGCUCGUACAAGGAAUUGCAAAUCUUGAAGGAGAAAAAUGGGCCAAACACAGAAAGAUAAUCAACCCUGCAUUUCAUUUAGAAAAGCUUAAGGUAUCUAUAUCUUUUUGUAAGAGUGAGAGAGAUUACUAUUUCUACUUCUUCUCUUCGGGUUUGAUAACCAUUUUGGUUUUUUUUUUCAAAAUACAUUUUUAUUAUUAUCUCUACUUCCUAAGAAACAAGAAAUAUAAUAGAAAGCGAAAAAAGUUAUCAAACGAAGCACAAAAUUUCAAGUUCUCACGCAUACGUUUACGUUGGCUUGUAGGAUAUGGUACCAGCAUUCUAUCACAGUUGUAACGAGAUGGUUAGCAAGUGGGAAAGUAUGGUCUCUAGAGAGGGAUCAUGUGAGUUAGAUGUAAUGCCUUGUCUUAAAAAUAUGGCUUCUGAUGUGAUUUCUCGAACUGCAUUUGGGAGUAGCUAUGAGAAAGGAAAAAAGAUCUUCAAGCUUCAAACUGAACUAGGUAAUUUGGUGAUUCAAGCUAGCUUAGGGAUAUAUAUUCCAGGAUGGAGGUAAAAACACUAUCCAUCUACAACAUGAUUAUAUAUACAUCUAUUGUGAAAGAAUUCAUAUCAUGAUUAAUAUUUUUUGUGCAGUUUUCUACCCACAAAGUCGAACAGGAAAAUGAAAGAAAUAAGUAAAGAGAUAACAACUUUGAUAUUGGGUAUUAUGAAUGAAAGGGAAAAGUCUAUGAAUGCAGGCGAAGCAAUACAAACUGAUCUGUUAAGCAUUCUCAUGGAAUCCAAUAUGAAUGAAAUUAAACAACAUGGAAACAAUAAGGACAUUGGAAUGAGCAUAGAAGAAGUUAUUGAAGAAUGCAAGCUUUUCUAUAUUGCUGGCCAAGAAACUACAGCAACGUUACUAGUCUGGACGAUGGUAUUGUUGAGUUCGUACUCAGAAUGGCAAGAGCGUGCAAGAGCAGAAGUCUUUGAGAUCUUUGGUAACAAGAAACCAAAUUAUGAUGGUUUAAAU
rnacentral:lncRNA from 1 species